rnacentral:rRNA from 1 species
AUGCAUGUCUAAGUAUAAGCAAUUAUACGGCGAAACUGCGAAUGGCUCAUUAUAUAAGUUAUCGUUUAUUUGAUAGUACCUUACUACUUGGAUAACCGUGGUAAUUCUAGAGCUAAUACAUGCAAAUCAAUCCCGACUUCGGAAGGGAUGUAUUUAUUAGAUUAAAAACCAAUGCCCUCUGGGCUCUCUGGUGAUUCAUGAUAACUGCUCGAAUCGCAUGGCCUUGCGCCGGCGAUGGCUCAUUCAAAUUUCUUCCCUAUCAACUUUCGAUGUUUGGGUAGUGGCCAAACAUGGUUGCAACGGGUAACGGAGGGUUAGGGCUCGACCCCGGAGAAGGAGCCUGAGAAACGGCUACUACAUCCAAGGAAGGCAGCAGGCGCGCAAAUUACCCAAUCCCGAUACGGGGAGGUAGUGACAAUAAAUACUGAUACAGGGCUCUUUUGGGUCUUGUAAUUGGAAUGAGUACAAUUUAAAUCCCUUAACGAGGAACAAUUGGAGGGCAAGUCUGGUGCCAGCAGCCGCGGUAAUUCCAGCUCCAAUAGCGUAUAUUAAAGUUGUUGUGGUUAAAAAGCUCGUAGUUGAACCUUGGGCCUGGCUGGCCGGUCCGCCUCACCGCGUGCACUGGUCCGGCCGGGCCUUUCCCUCUGUGGAACCCCAUGCCCUUCACUGGGUGUGGCGGGGAAGCAGGACUUUUACUUUGAAAAAAUUAGAGUGCUCUAAGCAGGCCAAUGCUCGAAUACAUUAGCAUGGAAUAAUGAAAUAGGACGCGCGGUUCUAUUUUGUUGGUUUCUAGGACCGCCGUAAUGAUUAAUAGGGACAGUCGGGGGCAUCAGUAUUCAAUUGUCAGAGGUGAAAUUCUUGGAUCAUUUGAAGACUAACUACUGCGAAAGCAUUUGUCAAGGAUGUUUUCAUUAAUCAGGAACGAAAGUUAGGGGAUCGAAGACGAUCAGAUACCGUCGUAGUCUUAACCAUAAACUAUGCCGACUAGGGAUCGGACGAUGUUAUUUUUUGACUCGUUCGGCACCUUACGAGAAAUCAAAGUGCUUGGGCUCC